rnacentral:rRNA from 1 species
AACGAACGCUGGCGGCGUGCUUAACACAUGCAAGUCGAACGAGAAGCCGUAGCAAUACGGUUGUAAAGUGGCAAACGGGUGAGUAAUACAUGGGUAAUCUACCCUUGGGUGGGGAAUAACUUCCCGAAAGGGAGCUAAUGCCGACUAUACGUAGCGGUCUCGAUAGGGGACUUCUAGAAAGCCGUACCGUGGGUGCGGCGCCCAAGGAUGAGCUCAUGCCCUAUCAGCUUGUUGGCGGGGUAANGGCCCACCAAGGCUACGACGGGUAGCUGGUCUGAGAGGACGACCAGCCACACUGGCACUGCGACACGGGCCAGACUCCUACGGGAGGCAGCAGUGAGGAAUAUUGCGCAAUGGGCGAAAGCCUGACGCAGCGACGCCGCGUGGGGGAUGAAGG